GGGUGGCUGAGUGGUAGAGCAUCUGCUUUGCAUACAGAAGGACCAAGUUUCAAUAUCUAAUGGCAUCUCCA